UUGAUGUUAUAAACCCGUCAUCUUCAGUGCUGGCUUUCUAGCAUGUGCACGUUGGGGCGGCAUUAUUCAUCUCACAACCCCCUUUGUGAACUCCUGGCCUUUGCUGGUUUCGACUGGCAGAGGAAUUUACACAAACUCGAAUGUAAUGAAAUGCUUGUUGUGCACUAUAUAUAUA
rnacentral:misc_RNA from 1 species